ensembl:lncRNA
GUGGGGUGGCCAGUCCUCUUCUGGCUGUGCCGGGUGGAGAUUAUAACAGAACAUGGCCAAGAUGUUCAAAUGUUCAUAAAUGACCAGCAUGGUCGAAUAAUAAUAAGGCAGAACAGUUGAAACUGGAGCAGCAGCACAGUCAGGUGGACUGGGGACAGCAAGGAGUCAUCAUGUCAGGUAGUCCUGGGGCAUGGUCCUAGGGCUCAGGUCCUCCGAGAGAGAGAAAGAAAGAGAGAAGGAGAGAAUUAGAGAACGCACACUUAGAUUCACACAGGACACCGAAUAGGACAGGAGAAGUACUCCAGAUAAACAAACUGACCCCAGCCCCCCGACACAUAAACUACUGCAGCAUAAAUACUGGAGGCUGAGACAGGAGGGGUCAGGAGACACUGUGGCCCCAUCCGAGGACACCCCCGGACAGGGCCAAACAGGAAGGAUAUAACCCCACCCACUUUGCCAAAGCACAGCCCCCACACCACUAGAGGGAUAUCUUCAACCACCAACUUACCAUCCUGAGACAAGGCUGAGUAUAGCCCACAAAGAUCUCCACCACGGCACAACCCAAGGGGGGGGCGCCAACCCAGACAGGAUGACCACAACAGUGAAUCAACCC